rnacentral:lncRNA from 1 species
CAGUUCUCUGCCUCAACAAGAAUGGAGUGCUCGAACGAAGAAUUUAGCAGAGUUUUGAGAUAGAAAAAUGAGCUUAAAGAAUAACGUAUCUGGGUCCCCCUCUUUAUAGGUGGAGGAGGCAACGGAUUGAUGGCGACGUUUGUAACCGUCCGGUAGUGAGCCGCCCAUGGUCAGGAGAAUUUAUUGCAAAGGGUAGUGGGGUAGACCCAUGGCUAUUGUCAUAGCCUGCCACGUAGGGCCUGUCGCAGGUAGUGGAGCGGCGUCCGUUACCGCUAGUUGUCAGCGAG